rnacentral:rRNA from 1 species
AGGAUGAACGCUGGCGGCGUGCCUAAUACAUGCAAGUCGAGCGGUAAGGCCACUUCGGUGGUACACGAGCGGCGGACGGCUGAGUAACACGUAGGAACGUACCCCAAAGUGAGGCAUAAGCACCAGAAAUGGUGUCUAAUACCGCAUGUGGCCUAACAGGCUAAAGCUCCGGCGCUUUGGGAACGGCCUGCGCAUGAUUAGCUUGUUGGUGAGGUAAAAGCUCACCAAGGCAGUGAUCAUUAGCUGGUCUGAGAGGAUGACCAGCCAGACUGGGACUGAGAACGGCCCAGACUCCUACGGGAGGCAGCAGUAGGGAAUUUUCCACAAUGGGCGAAAGCCUGAUGGAGCAACGCCGCGUGCAGGAUGAAGGCUCUCGGGUCGUAAACUGCUUUUAUAUGUGAAGAUUAUGACGGUAGCAUAUGAAUAAGGAUCGGCUAACGUCCGCGCCAGCAGCCGC